rnacentral:rRNA from 1 species
UACGUAGGGUGCGAGCGUUAAUCGGAAUUACUGGGCGUAAAGCGUGCGUAGGCGGUUCGUUAAGUCAGAUGUGAAAGCCCCGGGCUCAACCUGGGAACUGCAUUUGAAACUGGCGGGCUUGAGUAUGGCAGAGGGGGGUGGAAUUCCGCGUGUAGCAGUGAAAUGCGUAGAGAUGCGGAGGAACACCGAUGGCGAAGGCAGCCCCCUGGGCCAACACUGACGCUCAGGCACGAAAGCGUGGGGAGCAAACAGG